UACGGAGGGGGCUAGCGUUGUUCGGUAUUACUGGGCGUAAAGCGCACGUUGGCGGCUUUGUAAGUUAGAGGUGAAAGCCCAGGGCUUAACCCUGGAAUUGCCUUUAAGACUGCAUCGCUAGAAUCGUGGAGAGGUAAGUGGAAUUCCGAGUGUAGAGGUGAAAUUCGUAGAUAUUCGGAAGAACACCAGUGGCGAAGGCGACUUACUGGACACGUAUUGACGCUGAGGUGCGAAAGCGUGGGGAGCGAACCGG
rnacentral:rRNA from 1 species